CAAGUGCAAGUGCAUCUCGUACCAUCAUGUUUGAUCCUGAUAAAAUAAUACAGUGUCAACUGUGUCACAACUGUGUCUCGUCAGUUGUCUCGUCAGUUUGUGGAAAAGAGAAAUGCAUCGAAGACCACGCGUGAAAUAAUCUACGCACAAACAUAAACCCGGCUGGACCACCGACAAUGUGUGUACGCGGAACAAUGUGUUCGACGGAUGCCACUACCGCCACCAACGCAGACCUCACACACAGCCAACGCUGCA